rnacentral:rRNA from 1 species
CUACGGGGUGCUGCAGUGAGGAAUAUUGCACAAUGGGGGGAACCCUGAUGCAGCAACGCCGCGUGGAGGAUGACGCAUUUCGGUGUGUAAACUCCUUUUAUAUGUCAAGAAAAUGACGGUAGCAUAUGAAUAAGCACCGGCUAACUCCGUGCCAGCAGCCGCGGUAAUACGGAGGGUGCAAGCGUUACUCGGAAUCACUGGGCGUAGAGGACGCGUAGGCGGGUUGGAAAGUCAGGUGUGAAAUCCUACAGCUUAACUGUAGAACUGCACUUGGAACUUCUAAUCUAGAGUAUGGGAGGGGGAGAUGGAAUUAGUGGUGUAGGGGUAAAAUCCGUAGAUAUCACUAGGAAUACCUAAAGCGAAGGCGAUCUCCUGGAACAUUACUGACGCUAAGGCGUGAAAGCGUGGGGAGCAAACAGGAUUAGAUCCCUAGUAGUC